UUCGAUGGUAGGAUAGAGGCCUACCAUGGUUUCAACGGGUAACGGGGAAUAAGGGUUCGAUUCCGGAGAGGGAGCCUGAGAAACGGUACCACAUCCAAGGAAGGCAGCAGGCGCGCAAAUUACCCAAUCCCGACACGGGGAGGUAGUGACAAUAAAUAACAAUAUAGGGCCCUUUUGGGGGUCUUAUAAUUGGGGAAAAAAUGAGUACAAUUUAAAUCCCUUAACGAGGAACAAUUGGAGGGCAAGUCUUGGGUUGCCAGCAGCCGCGGUAAAUUCCAGCUCCAAUAGCGUAUAUUAAAGUUGUUGCAGUUAAAAAGCUCGUAGUCGAACUUCAGACCUGGCUGGAUGGUCUGCCUAACGGUAUGUACUGUCCGGCUGGGCCUUACCUCUUGGUGAGCCGGCAUGCCCUUCACUGGGUGUGUCGGGGAACCAGGACUUUUACCUUGAGAAAAUUAGAGUGUUCAAAGCAGGCUUAUGCCCGAAAUAC
rnacentral:rRNA from 1 species